GAUGAAGAACGCAGCGAAAUGCGAUACUUGGUGUGAAUUGCAGAAUCCCGUGAACCAUCGAGUCUUUGAACGCAAGUUGCGCCUCAAGCCAUUAGGUUGAGGGCACGUCUGCCUGGGCGUCACAUAUCGUUGCCUGAUGCCAGUUUCCUCGUGAUGGGUGACUGUGCAGGGCGAAUGAUGGCUUCCCGUGAGCAUUGUUGCCUCAUGGUUGGUUGAAAAUUGAGUCCUUGGUAGGGAGCGCCGUGAUAGAUGGUGGUUGAGUGACGAACGAGACCCAAUCAUGUGAGACCCCUACCGAAUUUGGCCUUCUUGACCCACAUGCGUCUUUGGAACGCUCAUGACGAGACCUCAGGUCAGGCGGGGCUACCCGCUGAGUUUAAGCAUAUCAAUAAGCGGAGGA
rnacentral:misc_RNA from 1 species